rnacentral:rRNA from 1 species
UUUCUUAAGGGGCUUAAACUAUCCACCGCACCGUUGAAAGUGGGUGAUCCUGCCAACAAGGUGUCGGAUGCUAUCCCCGACAAGGGGGAAGCUAGUAGUGAAAAGGCUCCUUCUUCUAGUGGCAAGAAUGGCACCGGCAUCUUUGCCCAUGUGGAACCACCACUUGUUUAUGGUGGACCGGUUCCUUCCACUCAUUUGAAUCAUGCCGGUCGUCCCCCUAAGAUUGUGAAAAAUAAGGAUUUUGAUUCUUGGGUUUACCGCUUUAAACGUCAUUUAAAUCAUGUGAACACUAACCUUUGGAUAAUCAUUAAAGAAGGUUUCUAUCCACAUGAUCCAAGCAACUUCACUCCUCGAGAA